AUUGAACGCUGGCGGCAGGCCUAACACAUGCAAGUCGAGCGGAUGAAGGGAGCUUGCUCCUGGAUUCAGCGGCGGACGGGUGAGUAAUGCCUAGGAAUCUGCCUGGUAGUGGGGGAUAACGUCCGGAAACGGGCGCUAAUACCGCAUACGUCCUGAGGGAGAAAGUGGGGGAUCUUCGGACCUCACGCUAUCAGAUGAGCCUAGGUCGGAUUAGCUAGUUGGUGGGGUAAAGGCCUACCAAGGCGACGAUCCGUAACUGGUCUUAGAGGAUGAUCAGUCACACUGGAACUGAGACACGGUCCAGACUCCUACGGGAGGCAGCAGUGGGGAAUAUUGGACAAUGGGCGAAAGCCUGCUCCAGCCAUGCCGCGUGUGUGAAGAAGGUCUUCGGAUUGUAAAGCACUUUAAGUUGGGAGGAAGGGCAGUAAGUUAAUACCUUGCUGUUUUGACGUUACCAACAGAAUAAGCACCGGCUAACUUCGUG
rnacentral:rRNA from 1 species